rnacentral:rRNA from 1 species
GAUGAACGCUGGCGGCGUGCCUAAUACAUGCAAGUCGAGCGAACGGACGAGAAGCUUGCGUCUCUGAUGUUAGCGGCGGACGGGUGAGUAACACGUGGAUAACCUACCUAUAAGACUGGGAUAACUUCGGGAAACCGGAGCUAAUACCGGAUAAUAUUUUGAACCGCAUGGUUCAAAAGUGAAAGACGGUCUUGCUGUCACUUAUAGAUGGAUCCGUGCUGCAUUAGCUAGUUGGUAAGGUAACGGCUUACCAAGGCAACGAUGCAUAGCCGACCUGAGAGGGUGAUCGGCCACACUGGAACUGAGACACGGUCCAGACUCCUACGGGAGGCAGCAGUAGGGAAUCUUCCGCAAUGGGCGAAAGCCUGACGGAGCAACGCCGCGUGAGUGAUGAAGGUCUUCGGAUCGUAAAACUCUGUUAUUAGGGAAGAACAUAUGUGUAAGUAACUGUGCACAUCUUGACGGUACCUAAUCAGAAAGCCCCGGCUAACUACGUG